AUGGGUUGUUGCUGGUUCUCUAGGGAGCAUGUGCACACCUUGUCAUCUUUAUAUCUCCACCUGUGCACUUUUUGUAGACCUUUUCAGGUCUAUGUUGUCUCAUUUUACCCCAAUGUAUGUCAAUAGAAUGUUGUGCCUAUAUAUAAUAUAUACAACUUUCAGCAACGGAUCUCUUGGCUCUCGCAUCGAUGAAGAACGCAGCGAAAUGCGAUAAGUAAUGUGAAUUGCAGAAUUCAGUGAAUCAUCGAAUCUUUGAACGCACCUUGCGCUCCUUGGUAUUCCGAGGAGCAUGCCUGUUUGAGUGUCAUUAAUAUAUCAACCUUCUCUUUUUGAGUGGUUUGGAUGUGGGGGUUUGCUGGCCUCUUAAAAAGGUCUUGGCUCUCCUGAAAUGCAUUAGCAGAACAACCCUGUUCAUUGGUGUGAUAAACUAUCUACGCUAUUGAAUGUGAAGGGCAGUUUGGCUUUCUAACAGUCCUUGGACAAGCUCAUCAUUAAUGUGACCUCAAAUCAGGUAGGACUACCCGCUGAACUUAAGCAUAUCAAUAAGCGGAGGA
rnacentral:rRNA from 1 species